rnacentral:other from 1 species
UCAACCCUCGGAUAUCCGCUCUUCUUGACUACGUCUCUGAGCCGAUAAUUAUAAUCCCGGUGACUUGGCUUGAAUGCUACUGUGCAAGCUCGGCUCGUAUCGAGAAGCCUACGGCAAACACUAAGACACCUACCUUGACCUUCGGGUUCAGGUCUACAGUCAAUAACGAUAUCCUUGGGUUACU